GCCAGACUCCUACGGGAGGCAGCAGUGGGGAAUAUUGCACAAUGGGGGAAACCCUGAUGCAGCGACGCCGCGUGAGUGAAGAAGUAUUUCGGUAUGUAAAGCUCUAUCAGCAGGGAAGAUAAUGACGGUACCUGAGUAAGAAGCCCCGGCUAACUACGUGCCAGCAGCCGCGGUAAUACGUAGGGGGCAAGCGUUAUCCGGAUUUACUGGGUGUAAAGGGAGCGUAGACGGCAAUACAAGUCGGAAGUGAAAUACCCGGGCUCAACCUGGGAACUGCUUUGGAAACUGUAUGGCUGGAGUGCUGGAGAGGUAAGCGGAAUUCCUAGUGUAGCGGUGAAAUGCGUAGAUAUUAGGAGGAACACCAGUGGCGAAGGCGGCUUACUGGACAGUAACUGACGUUGAGGCUCGAAAGCGUGGGGAGCAAACAGGAUUAGAUACCCCAGUAG
rnacentral:rRNA from 1 species